rnacentral:rRNA from 1 species
AGAGUUUGAUUCUGGCUCAGAAUGAACGCUGGCGGCGUGCCUAACACAUGCAAGUCGCACGAGAAAGGCUGGGUUUCGGCUUGGCCGAGUAAAGUGGCGCACGGGUGAGUAACGCGUGGGUGACCUACCCUCGAAUCUGGGAUAACCUCGCGAAAGCGGGGCUAAUACCGGAUACGUCCCUUCGGGGAGAAAGCCGGCCUCUCGAAGAAGCUGGUGUUCGGGGAUGGGCCCGCGUCCUAUCAGCUAGUUGGUAGGGUAACGGCCUACCAAGGCGACGACGGGUAGCUGGUCUGAGAGGAUGAUCAGCCACACUGGCACUGGAACACGGGCCAGACUCCUACGGGAGGCAGCAGUGAGGAAUUUUGCGCAAUGGGAGCAAUCCUGACGCAGCAACGCCGCGUGGGUGAAGAAGGCCUUCGGGUCGUAAAGCCCUGUCAGGAGGGAAGAACCUCGCUGGGGCGAAUAGCCUUGGCGACUGACGGUACCUCCAGAGGAAGCACCGGCUAACUCCGUGCCAGCAGCCGCGGUAAUACGGAGGGUGCGAGCGUUAUUCGGAAUUACUGGGCGUAAAGCGCGUGUAGGCGGCAGGGCAAGUCUGGUGUGAAAGCCCGGGGCUCAACCCCGGAAGUGCAUUGGAAACUGCUCUGCUUGAGUACCGGAGAGGAAGGGGGAAUUCCUGGUGUAGCGGUGAAAUGCGUAGAUAUCGGGAGGAAUACCAGUGGCGAAGGCGCCCUUCUGGACGGUUACUGACGCUGAGA